UCACAAUGAAAAUGUAACAACGGUGCAUGC
rnacentral:piRNA from 1 species